rnacentral:rRNA from 1 species
CGACUUAUCUCAUUAACAAAUAAAAACGAGAGCGACGGGCGAUGUGUACAUAUCUCAGAACCAAUUAUCACAAAAACAAUCUUCAAAACAUUACAAUCAAAUCCAAUUUCAUGCCAGUAAUUAAAACCGACAAUCCAAACAAACAAAUAACAAUGUAACCCACCAAUACACUUAGAGAAAGCUGCACCUUGACCUGAAAUUAAACCAAAUAAAGAAACCAGAAAAUUAAAUAACUCUAAAAAGAUAAUCAAUAAACGGCGGUAUACAAACCAUUAAACAACUAAGUAAGGUCCAACGCGGACUAUCGAUAACGAGACAGGUUCCUCUGAACGGAAUAAGAUACCGCCAAAUUCUUUAAGUUUCAAGAACAUAACUAAUACUACUCAGGCAAAACAUUAACAUCCAAAAAUAAUAGGGUAUCUAAUCCUAGUUU